rnacentral:misc_RNA from 1 species
AACUUUCAGCAACGGAUCUCUUGGCUUUCGCAUCGAUGAAGAACGCAGCGAACGUGCGAAACGUAAUGUGAAUUGCAGAAUUCAGUGAAUCAUCGAAUCUUUGAACGCAUCUUGCGCUCCUUGGUAUUCCGAGGAGCAUGCCUGUUUGAGUGUCGUGAAGUACUCUCAAUUUCAAUCUUUUUGUUUUGAAAUUGGAUUUGGGUGUUGUUGUGAUUUCACAGCUCAUCCUAAAUGCAUUAGCGAUCUGCCUUCGAUCACACACAAUGUGAUAAGUAAAGAGCAUUGUUAUAAUCAAGUCAGGAUUGCUUCUAACUGUCUUUGCGGACAAUUCUUUAUGUCGUUUGACCUCAGAUCAGGCAGGACUACCCGCUGAACUUAAGCAUAUCAAUAAGCGGAGGCU